ACUUCCGUUAAUUGAUCAGGACGUGCUUGCACUGAAUGAGAUUUUAACACGAAGUGAGUGGCGGACGGGUGAGUAACACGUGGGUAACCUGCCCAGAAGCAGGGGAUAACACCUGGAAACAGAUGCUAAUACCGUAUAACAGAGAAAACCGCCUGGUUUUCUUUUAAAAGAUGGCUCUGCUAUCACUUCUGGAUGGACCCGCGGCGCAUUAGCUAGUUGGUGAGGUAACGGCUCACCAAGGCGAUGAUGCGUAGCCGACCUGAGAGGGUAAUCGGCCACAUUGGGACUGAGACACGGCCCAGACUCCUACGGGAGGCAGCAGUAGGGAAUCUUCCACAAUGGACGCAAGUCUGAUGGAGCAACGCCGCGUGAGUGAAGAAGGGUUUCGGCUCGUAAAGCUCUGUUGUUAAAGAAGAACGUGGGUGAGAGUAACUGUUCACCCAGUGACGGUAUUUAACCAGAAAGCCACGGCUAACUACGUGCCAGCAGCCGCGGUAAUACGUAGGUGGCAAGCGUUAUCCGGAUUUAUUGGGCGUAAAGCGAGCGCAGGCGGUCUUUUAAGUCUAAUGUGAAAGCCUUCGGCUCAACCGAAGAAGUGCAUUGGAAACUGGGAGACUUGAGUGCAGAAGAGGACAGUGGAACUCCAUGUGUAGCGGUGAAAUGCGUAGAUAUAUGGAAGAACACCAGUGGCGAAGGCGGCUGUCUG
rnacentral:rRNA from 1 species